rnacentral:tRNA from 1 species
AAGAUUUUAAGUUAACAAAACUAGCAUCCUUCAAAGUUGCCAAUAAAAAUUCAUUUUAAAUCUUA